CUAGAGGUCAUACUUCCAAAGGGGGUAAUUCUAGAGCUAAUACGUGCACCAAGUCCCAACUCUUUGGAAGGGAUGCAUUUAUUAGAUAAAAGGUCACUGUGGGCUUGCUCGCUUCUCCGGUGAAUCAUGAUAACUCGAUGGAUCUCAUAGCCCUUGUGAUGGCGAUGCUUCAUUCAUAUUUCUUCCCUAUCAAAUUUCGAUGGUAGGGUAGAGGCCUACCAUGGUGGUGAUGAGUGACGGAGAAUUAGGGUUUGAUUAUGGAGAGGGAGCCUGAGAAACGACUACCACAUCCAAGGAAACGGGAACGCAAAUUACCCAAUCCUGACAUGGGGACGUAGUGACAAUAAAUAACAAUAACGGGCUCAUUGAGUCUGGUAAUUGGAAUGAGUAAAAUCUAAAUCCCUUAAUGAGGAUCCAGUGGAGGGAAAGUUUGGUGCGAGCAGUCGCAAUACUUCCAGCUCCAAUACCAUAUAUUUAAGUUGUUGGAGUUAAAAAGCUCAUAGUUGGAUAUUGGGUCAUAAAGGACAGUUCACCUACUUGGUGUCCACCUUCCCUUUCGUCCCUUUUGUCGGUGGUGUGCUCCUGGCCUUAAUUAGCUGGGUCACGGUUCCAGUGUUGUUACUUUGAAAAAAUUAGAGUGCUCAAAGGAAGAUUAUGCUCUGAAUACAUUAGCAUGGAAUAACGCGAUAGGAGUUUGGUCUUAUUGUGUUAAACUUCGGGACCGGAGUAAUGAUUAAUAGGGAUUGUCGGGGGCAUUCAUAUUUCAUUGUGAGAGGUGAAAUUAUGGAUUUAUGAAAGACGAACCACUGCGAAAUAAUUUGCCAAGGAUGUUUUCAUUAAUUAAGAACAAAAGUUGGGGGCUCAAAGACAAUCAAAUAUUGUCCUAGUCUUAACCAUAAACGAUGCCAACUAGGGAUCAACGGAUGUUUCUCUAAGGAAUCCACCACAACCUUCUAAGAAAUCAUAGUGUUUGGGUUCCGGGGGGAGUAUGGUCAUAGUUCCAUAGGGCAUACUUCCAUAGGUCAUAGUUCCAGAGGGCAUAGUUCCAAGGGUCAUAGUUCUAGAGGUCAUAGUUGCAGAGGGCGUAGUUCCACAGGUCAUAGUUCCAGAGGUCAUAGUUCCAAAGGGCGUAGCUCCAUAGGUCAUAGUUCCACAGGUCAUAUAUCCAGAGGGUGAAGUUCCAGAGGUCAUAGUUCUGAAGGGCAUAGUUCCAGAGGCGUAGUUCCAGAGGGUGUAGUUCCAAAGGUCAUAAUUCCAAAGGGCCUAGUUCCAUAGGUUGUACUUUCAUAGGUCAUAGUUCUAGAGGCGUGGUUCCAUAGGGCAUAGUUCCAUAGGUCAUAGUUCCAAAGGGCAUAGUUCCACAGGUCAUAUUUCCAGAGGGCGUAGUUCCACAGGUCAUAGUUCCAAAGGGUGUAGUUCCAGAGGACAUAGUUCCAUAGGUCAUAUUUCUAGAGGCAUAGUUCUAGAGGGCGUAGUUCCACAGCUCUUAGUUCCAAAGGGCGUAGUUCCAUAGGGCGUAGAUCCACAAGUCAUAGUUCCAU
rnacentral:rRNA from 1 species